GGAGAGGUGUCCGAGCGGCCGAAGGAGCACGAUUGGAAAUCGUGUGUACCCCUAAAGGGUACCGAGGGUUCAAAUCCCUCCCUCUCCG
rnacentral:tRNA from 1 species